CAGAGCGGUCAGAACGUAGGUACGCCACUUCCGCUUUUUGGCGCGCAUGCGCGCUGCUGCCUGAAGGACUCAUCACAAUAGAGAUCGGCGGAUUGGCUGCGCAGAGCGGUCAGAACGGAUGGACGCCACUUCCGCUUCUCGGCGGAACGUCUCAUAGCGCUCUGCGGGUCCACCGCAUAUGUUUCCGGCCGCUUCCGAGACGUCUCUGCGCGGUUCCCGCCGCCCCGGUGCCACCCAACAGACCCGCCGCGCGAGAGCAUCUCCGCUGCCGCACAAGUAGCAUGUGCUGCAGUACCGAAUUCUCUUCCAUGGGCGGCAGCAGCGAGUGCCAUAGCGCUAGUGCGCAUGAGCAGCCCUGGGUCGGGCACCUGUAAACCCGGUGCCUCGAUGAGCCAAGCGGAUGCCACGGCGCCCGCGAGAGCCAAAACUGCCAGUUCUCGGCGCGCGCUCGGGAAUGAAAACAAGGAAAUAGACAAGAGAGCUCGCGGAGUAGGUGGGGGGAGCUUUGCUCAGAGCUGACGGCUCGUGACUGGUCUGCUCGCCCGCAGCUCAAGCAGUUUGGAGAAAUCCAUGCUUUCUGUACGCCUGUCUUCGAGCGCAUGCGCGUCGCUGCCUGGAGGGCUUAUCACAAUAAAGAUUGGCGGAUUCGCUGCGCACAGCGGUCAGAACUCA